rnacentral:tRNA from 2 species
GGCCAUGUAGCUCAGGGGUUAGAGCACAGCAUUCAUAAUGCUGGUGUCGCUGGUUCAAAUCCAGCCAUGGCCACCA